rnacentral:rRNA from 1 species
GAUGAACGCUGGCGGCAUGCCUAAUACAUGCAAGUCGAACGAGAGGAAAAGAAGCUUGCUUCUUUGAAUCUAGUGGCGAACGGGUGAGUAACACGUAGGUAACCUGCCCAUGUGCCCGGGAUAACUUCUGGAAACGGAUGCUAAAACCGGAUAGGUAGCAGACAAGCAUUUGAACGCUAUUAAAGUGGCAUUGGCCAUGAACAUGGAUGGACCUGCGGUGCAUUAGCUAGUUGGGGAGGUAACGGCCCACCAAGGCGACGAUGCAUAGCCGGCCUGAGAGGGCGGACGGCCACAUUGGGACUGAGACACGGCCCAAACUCCUACGGGAGGCAGCAGUAGGGAAUUUUCGUCAAUGGGGGGAACCCUGAACGAGCAAUGCCGCGUGAGUGAGGAAGGUCUUCGGAUCGUAAAGCUCUGUUGUAAGAGAAAAACGGCACUCAUAGGGAAUGAUGAGUGAGUGAUGGUAUCUUACCAGAAAGUCACGGCUAGCUACGUGCCAGCCGCCGCAGUAA